ACAAUGCAGUCCGACUAAUUAAUUUUGUAAUCUUUGCAGUGGCAAGAAAGUAAAAGCAAACCAAGCCGCUGAGCUUCAAAGUGGGCCUGGGCAAAGUCAUUCGAGGGUGGGACGAGGGCCUGUUAACCAUGAGCAGGGGUGAGACGGCCCGUCUGGAGAUCGAACCUGAGUGGGCGUACGGAAAGAAGGGCCGCCCCGACUCCAAAAUUCCACCGAAUGCCAAGCUGAUAUUCGAGGUGGAGCUGGUGGCUGUGGAUUAAAGCAAGAAAACUGGAAAGCUGUCUGAAUUUUGGCACAUUGGUGGCUGGGGAUUCCAACUACAUAAUCGUUUUGUUGCUUUAAUGUCAAUGUAAUUUUUUUUAUGUUCUUUGUCAGCAUUAAAAUAUUACUUUCACAGACAAA